rnacentral:rRNA from 1 species
AACGUUAAUCGGGGCAGGGUGAGUCGACCCCUAAGGCGAGGCCGAAAGGCGUAGUCGAUGGGAAACAGGUUAAUAUUCCUGUACUUGGUGUUACUGCGAAGGGGGGACGGAGAAGGCUAUGUUGGCCGGGCGACGGUUGUCCCGGUUUAAGCGUGUAGGCUGGUUUUCCAGGCAAAUCCGGAAAACUAAGGCUGAGGCGUGAUGACGAGGCACUACGGUGCUGAAGCAACAAAUGCCCUGCUUCCAGGAAAAGCCUCUAAGCAUCAGGUAACAUCAAAUCGUACCCCAAACCGACACAGGUGGUCAGGUAGAGAAUACCAAGGCGCUUGAGAGAACUCGGGUGAAGGAACUAGGCAAAAUGGUGCCGUAACUUCGGGAGAAGGCACGCUGAUAUGUAGGUGAAGCGACUUGCUCGUGGAGCUGAAAUCAGUCGAAGAUACCAGCUGGCUGCAACUGUUUAUUAAAAACACAGCACUGUGCAAACACGAAAGUGGACGUAUACGGUGUGACGCCUGCCCGGUGCCGGAAGGUUAAUUGAUGGGGUCAGCGCAAGCGAAGCUCUUGAUCGAAGCCCCGGUAAACGGCGGCCGUAACUAUAACGGUCCUAAGGUAGCGAAAUUCCUUGUCGGGUAAGUUCCGACCUGCACGAAUGGCGUAAUGAUGGCCAGGCUGUCUCCACCCGAGACUCAGUGAAAUUGAACUCGCUGUGAAGAUGCAGUGUACCCGCGGCAAGACGGAAAGACCCCGUGAACCUUUACUAUAGCUUGACACUGAACAUUGAGCCUUGAUGUGUAGGAUAGGUGGGAGGCUUUGAAGUGUGGACGCCAGUCUGCAUGGAGCCGACCUUGAAAUACCACCCUUUAAUGUUUGAUGUUCUAACGUUGACCCGUGAUCCGGGUUGCGGACAGUGUCUGGUGGGUAGUUUGACUGGGGCGGUCUCCUCCUAAAGAGUAACGGAGGAGCACGAAGGUUGGCUAAUCCUGGUCGGACAUCAGGAGGUUAGUGCAAUGGCAUAAGCCAGCUUGACUGCGAGCGUGACGGCGCGAGCAGGUGCGAAAGCAGGUCAUAGUGAUCCGGUGGUUCUGAAUGGAAGGGCCAUCGCUCAACGGAUAAAAGGUACUCCGGGGAUAACAGGCUGAUACCGCCCAAGAGUUCAUAUCGACGGCGGUGUUUGGCACCUCGAUGUCGGCUCAUCACAUCCUGGGGCUGAAGUAGGUCCCAAGGGUAUGGCUGUUCGCCAUUUAAAGUGGUACGCGAGCUGGGUUUAGAACGUCGUGAGACAGUUCGGUCCCUAUCUGCCGUGGGCGCUGGAGAACUGAGGGGGGCUGCUCCUAGUACGAGAGGACCGGAGUGGACGCAUCACUGGUGUUCGGGUUGUCAUGCCAAUGGCACUGCCCGGUAGCUAAAUGCGGAAGAGAUAAGUGCUGAAAGCAUCUAAGCACGAAACUUGCCCCGAGAUGAGUUCUCCCUGACUCCUUGAGAGUCCUGAAGGAACGUUGAAGACGACGACGUUGAUAGGCCGGGUGUGUAAGCGCAGCGAUGCGUUGAGCUAACCGGUACUAAUGAACCGUGAGGCUUAACCU